AACGAACGCUGGCGGCAGGCUUAACACAUGCAAGUCGAGCGCUGUAGCAAUACAGAGCGGCGCACGGGUGAGUAACACGUGGGAACAUGCCUUUCGGUUCGGAAUAACUCAGGGAAACUUGUGCUAAUACCGGAUACGCCCUUAGGGGAAAGAUUUAUUGCCGAAAGAGUGGCCCGCGUCCGAUUAGCUAGUUGGUGGGGUAAAGCCCACCAAGGCGACGAUCGGUAGCUGGUCUGAGAGGAUGACCAGCAUCACUGGGACUGAGACACGGCCCAGACUCCUACGGGAGGCAGCAGUGGGGAAUAUUGGACAAUGGGCGCAAGCCUGAUGCAGCGACGCCGCGUGGGGGA
rnacentral:rRNA from 1 species